CGGAUUCUGGUUCAGGACGAACGCUGGCGGCGUGCCUAAUACAUGCAAGUCGAACGGUCUUUCUAUGGAAGCUUGCUUCCACUGAGAAGAUAGUGGCGAACGGGUGAGUAACACGUGGGUAACCUGCCCAUAAGAGGGGGAUAACAUCCGGAAACGGGUGCUAAUACCGCAUAGUUUUCUUGAUCGCAUGAUCGGGAAAGGAAAGACGGCCUUUGUGCUGUCGCUUAUGGAUGGACCCGCGGCGUAUUAGUUAGUUGGUGAGGUAACGGCUCACCAAGACGAUGAUACGUAGCCGACCUGAGAGGGUGAUCGGCCACAUUGGGACUGAGACACGGCCCAAACUCCUACGGGAGGCAGCAGUAGGGAAUCUUCCGCAAUGGACGAAAGUCUGACGGAGCAACGCCGCGUGAGUGAAGAAAGGUUUUCGGAUCGUAAAACUCUGUUGUCAGAGAAGAACAAGUUGGAGAGUAACUGCUCCAGCCUUGACGGUAUCUGACCAGAAAGCCACGGCUAACUACGUGCCAGCCGCAGC
rnacentral:rRNA from 1 species